rnacentral:tRNA from 335 species
GCCCGGAUAGCUCAGUCGGUAGAGCAGGGGAUUGAAAAUCCCCGUGUCGGUGGUUCGAUUCCGCCUCCGGGCACCA